UACGUAGGUGACAAGCGUUGUCCGGAUUUACUGGGCGUAAAGAGCGCGCAGGCGGUCGUUCAAGUCGAGUGUGAAAGCCCCCGGCUCAACUGGGGAGGGUCACUCGAUACUGAUCGACUCGAAGGCAGGAGAGGGUAGUGGAAUUCCCGGUGUAGUGGUGAAAUGCGUAGAUAUCGGGAGGAACACCAGUGGCGAAGGCGACUACCUGGCCUGUUCUUGACGCUGAGGUGCGAAAGCGUGGGGAGCAAACAGG
rnacentral:rRNA from 1 species